AGAAAAAGAAAAAAAAAAAAGAAACGAACUUUCUUUGAGAAAAAUGAACUUUCUUGAGUUAACAUUCAUAACUAACCUCAUUAACUCUGCCUUUAGUUACAUAAGCCAAGAGUUUCAAUGUUUUGAGUAUACGGUUCAGAACUUUGAUUGAUGGAGGUCUAGACCAGAGGAAGGUUAACAGCAGUGAAAAGAUGCUUUGGGUUACAGUCAUCUAAACUUUGAUUGGGAGACUUUCAUUUUACAAAGAAUAUGACAACACCCUCCACUUAUUUAAGACCAUAAAGCCAUGACACUAAUUCUAAUCAAUAUGCCUCCACACAACCCAUUUUCUUUUUUGCUUAAUGAUACAAUUUUAUAGAUGAUGUAUUUGAAAUGACCAUCAUAAAAUGAAAGUUAAACUUCUUGAGAAUUUUCAUUAUCCCUCCUUUUCGGCUUGAAGAAGUCCACCUUACUUUUAAGAAGAAACUAGCCAAAGAAAAGUCCAGCAAUCAGUUCCAAACCGCUAUUCUCAGCUUAAAAUGAGACGCAACAAGAUAUUUGUUUACAUCUCAAAGCAUGACACAAAUUUCCCCCAAAUGAACAGAAUAUUUAACUUUCUGACAUCAUCAAAUCAGGAAUUUGAUCUUACUCAUAGGACUGCAAGAAAAAAGGAUGAAAAAGAACUGAGUAAUCAUAACUGAGUCAAUGAUGCUACAAUAUUCCAAGGAUUUUAGUACUAACAGAUCUAGCAAUAUUCAUUCUUGUAAAAAUUUCCCAUGCAAGUAACACAAUAGAAAACAAAACAUUUAGUACUUACACUAUUUGAGCAGCAGUUAGAG
rnacentral:misc_RNA from 1 species